GUUUUCAGAUGCUGUUAGUUCCUGAUGUAAAGAGAUCUGGGUGAGCUCCCCCAGGCAACUGCUGGUGCAUGAUCAGAUGUUGCAUUCCUGUUUUAUGAAGAAAAUAGGGGUCCCGCUUGCCUCUAUCCCGUGUGGGUGGUUACACAAAAGCUGUCAGUGAGAGUCAUGUUAAUGCAGUCUCCAACCUGAAGUAUUCCAGGUAAUGGGGGAAACAGUCAACUGUUUACUAAGAGCCUGAUUCAAAGCUCAUAAAUGGGAAUCUUUCCCUUGACUGCAGUGGACCCCUAAACACAACACUUAAAAAUGGAAUUUCAGUAGUGGGCAGGGGGUCUGAAGCUCUCGUGUUGGGGCAGGGUCCUGCUGGCAUUGUCCCAAAACGUUACCUGCUAAUGCAGACCUCCUCACCAGGAUGAUUACAGAAUGAUGAGCCGGUGCCUGAUGCUGCUGCUGGUUUCCCACUGGGCUCCAAAAACAGCAGAAGCCCAAGAACAUAGAACCGUUGGUAUGGGCUCUUCAGCGCUGCUGACUGCAUUGCCCACCAAUGACCAAACAGUCAUAGAACAUAUACAGUGGGAAUACAUAAGUAGUGCCACAAUUCCCAAUAUUGUGGAUUACUAUAGAACUGGAAGAAAACUUAUGAUCUAUAAACCUUAUGAAGACAGAGUGAUUUUCUAUUCAUCCAACGGCUCCCUCUUGUUGAAAAACGUACAAGAGACAGACAGCGGGACCUAGAGAGCUACCGUCAAUUUGAACAAAAUUGAAGCCAGGCAAACUACACUGCUAGUCUUAGAGCCUGUGUCCAAAGCCCAUCUACAGAUAAAUUCUACUGUGGCAGGUUCAUCCAUUGAAUUAUCCUGCAAGGUGCCAGUUGGCAAAAUGCAAGCUAUUGAUUGGAAGAAAGAUGGGAAGCCCGUACCCAAGAACAGAUGUUACCAGUUCUCUGAAAACUUCAGUGUUUUGUACAUACCAGAAGUGCAGAAAUCAGAUUGUGGAUCAUUUUCCUGCAAUGCCAGCAAUGAUAUAAGCUGGCAGAAAACCUCAGUGAAUUUGACCAUUGAAGGAUGACCGUGGUAGCCGGCACCUGGGCAUUUGACCUGAGCGAUCCUCCUCCUGAAUGGAAGGGUGCACGACCACAGUGAGGUCUACACCAUCGAACCUGUUGGUUCCCACUCUGUUCUGGUAGGGAUCCCAGGAUCUGACAUCAGGAAUCUGGUCAGGAAUGUAUGCAUCAGGAAAAGAUAAGGUGUGAAGGCCAUUGUUAUAGCCAGAGUCAAGGAAGAAGAAGUAAAGAGACUUAAAGGACAUCAAAGAAUCAUCAGGUACUGCUUACUAUCCAGAUGGCUGUUUAAACUGUCUGGCAUCACAGCGUGCAUACAUGCUUCACAGUGUAAGAAGGCACCCCCCAGCAAACCAAUCACCUCAGGACCACGCAGAGUCAAUUUUGACUCCAGAAGAAGACAUAGAGGAACAGCCUGCAAUACCUUACCAUCUACGCUCUUGUAAGGGUUGCCAGAAGCAGACAAGGACCUAAAGCAAGGCCCAAAAAGAAGCAGUAGUGAGCCUAGCGCCUGCUGCCUGGUGGAUGUAAAACUGUGACUGCGGUUCCCUCAGUCAAGGUUGUCAGAACCGGAAGGGCCUUGCCUCCAACAUGAGCCUCUGGUGGCGCCUGUUCCUCGGCUGCUGGUGUCUUAAGGUCUGGGGAGUCCACAAUGACAAUUCUUUUAUCCAGCAGCAAGUGUGGAUAGCUCAGACUCUUAAUAUUUCUAAUUGCUGGGUCUGCAGCCACAUCCCAGCUCACUCUCAAGCUGGUGUUCCUGUCCUGGCAAUCCUACUCAAUUCCCCAGACCUCACUGGAGGACCUCGUCCGUUUAACAAAACAUGGAACAAUAAUGACACUUGGGAAGCAGUGGGAAUAAAUGUAUCUAAAUGGAUAAGUGUGGUGGAGGGAAAAGGUCAUUGGUGUUGAGUGUGUAAUGGAUAGGGCUGGAUCUGGGAAAAAGCCGUUGCCUUCAGCAUAUUGUGGCCAAUGAUGUAUGGGAUUAUUCAAACAAAACUAAAGAGUGGCGGGCCGGGUACGGGGAUAUGAAUUUUUCUCGACCUGGGAUCAAACAGAAAAAUCAAUCUCAUGUUCCCCCUACAGUAACCUUAGUGAAAACAAUACAAUCUUUCAAUGCCAUGCAAAUAACACCACUUCUCGUAAGGAGAAUUACCCUGUGCCCUUCAGAGGAUAUUACUCCUCCUUUGCAGGCACCUAUGUGACAAAUGGGUGCAACCGACCCUUCCCAGCCUUAAUAGGCCAUCAUUGGGUUUGUGGGACCAAAGCUUAUAAUGUGUUACCAGCUAACUGGUCAGGUAUCUGUUAUCCCGCCCGACUCUUCCCACAAUUCCGAGUGCUAGGGUCCUUCCCACGAGAACGCCUUCGUAAUUUCAGGCGAAGAAGAAGGGACUUAUCAGAUGCCCAAUGGUAUGUAAAUAACAUAAGCCCCUUGACCUGGGAAGAGGCCAUUGGCGGUUCCCUUAUCCCACUUGGGGGAGUAAUACACCAUGCAAAAAGCCUCCUAAGGUUACAAGCAGUAGUUGAAAUAAUGGCAAAUGAAACCGGAGAGAGUUUAAAGACCCUGGCCAAAGAAACAGGGGCGAUCCGACAGAUGGCCCUCCAAAACCGUCAGGCAUUGGACAUAGUGCUGGUGGCCAAAGGAGGGACCUGUGCUCUCAUUGGAAAAGAAUGUUGUGUGUUCAUACCUGACGACACCAAUGAGGUAAUAGAUCGCGCUAGUCACUUAGAACAAAUUGCAUAUCUUCCCCAUGAAGAGCCAAGUUCUUUAUGGAAGUGGCUAAGUAACCUAUUCAAUUUCUCUGGCAUAGGAAACUGGUUGUUUCAGGGAGCCCUGACUAUCCUGUGUGGAAUCCUAAUGAUUUUUGUAUGUUUUCAGUUAAUCUCCUGUUGUAUCCAGAAUUGUGUAAGGUUUGCCACCCAAGUGACUGCCCCAAAACAGAGUGCUAAUAUGAUGAUGUUAAAUAUCACUGAUGAACGAAGAGAUAAAGAACUAUUAAUAUGUGGAACCCAGUAAUUGUUGGUCUUUGCGUAAGCUUGACCAAAAGGAGGGAUUGUGAAAGUGAAAUGAAUUAUAUUAAAGAAAUAGAAUGAAUUAAAGAAUGCUGUAUGUACCUUUAAGUAGAAAUGAGAAAUGCUGCAAGCCAGGGGGGCAGGAAAGCAGACAUUAACUGCUUAACUUGCCACUUAAGGGCAAUUGGUGAAGCAUUAGUCUUAGAUCGAUAAGAGUUAACAAGGAAGCAGGAUAUGCAUAUUGUGCUCCAUGCAUAUUUUACAAUUUUGCUCUCUCUGUCCCUUUGUUUAGUUCGCACCCUUUUAUCUGUAUAAAUAAGACUGUUUGAAUCUUGCAUGGAGGCUCACAUUAUCUGAAUGUAUUAGCAGAGCGCUGUGCUAAUAAAACAGAGUGGUCU